UACGUAGGGUGCGAGCGUUGUCCGGAAUUAUUGGGCGUAAAGAGCUCGUAGGCGGCCUGUCGCGUCGGAUGUGAAAGCCCGGGGCUUAACCCCGGGUCUGCAUUCGAUACGGGCAGGCUAGAGUUCGGUAGGGGAGAUCGGAAUUCCUGGUGUAGCGGUGAAAUGCGCAGAUAUCAGGAGGAACACCGGUGGCGAAGGCGGUUCUCUGGGCCUGUACUGACGCUGAGGAGCGAAAGCGUGGGGAGCGAACAGG
rnacentral:rRNA from 1 species